ACCGCCAAAAAAACAAAACCCAAAACACCGAACAAACAGCCUUUCAAAUUGCCUACUUUCCUCAAUCGCAAUUUGAAGGCUUCUUUCUUAAAUUCCCAAUAAACUCUUCACAAUUAAAGUUCAUUAUUUUUCGGGGUGAGAUGUUGUUGUUGUGUAGCAGAGAUGUGUAGGAGUGCAGAACAGGGAGGAUGCAAACCACUAAUGGCUCCAUUCUUUUCAUGAUGACCAGAUUGAGUAAUUUUAUUUUCAAUACGUUUGAAGCCAGCUUUGUAAAACCUGGAUCUGCUAACUAACUGCCAAAGGAAACCGCAGAGAGAAGGGUGGAAUCUGGCAUAAGCCCCUCAUGCUCUUAAGCAGACAGUUUGGAUAAAGAAGAAGCCUCAGGUGACCAUCUAUAAUAACUCUGAAGAUCUCUUAUCCAUUCAUAUCAGGAGAGACACGCCAAGGCCAUAGAGACUCCCAACAGAAAUGCUUUUGAGUUAAUGAUGAGGUACACCGAACGUAUACACGAGAUCUGUUGACGUUAAUAUGGAUGUUGCAAAGGACCUUCUAAGGGUUGCUGAUCAAUAUCUUCUAGAGGGCCUUAAGCAUCUUGUGCGAGUAUGCAAUUGCACAGGAUAUCUCAGUGGAAAGUGUCUCUGAUGUUUGAAUUAUUGGACGCAUUUACUGCAUUGUCAUUACGAAAUGCUUGCAUUAUCUUCAUUUUGGAGAAGUUUCGACAAAUUAAGCCAUGCCAUGGAGGGAUGCAAUGUAGCAUUCAGUUUUGUUUCGAAAGGGCAUUGACAGAUAAUUUUGGAAAUGCUGCAUUGGUUCUUUGUUUGUUCCUGCGAUUGAAGGUGAAGAUGAAUUCAUGUUUGCUGUGCUCAUUGUGGAUUGAAAAUCACGGGUUCCAUCUUCAAGCGUGGCAAUCGUUGGCCUAUGUUCAGACCUUUUGGAGCCAAAUGGAGGUGAAUAUGAGGCUCGUUUCAUGCAUUCAUAGUUAUACGGUACCAGACCAAAAAAUACCUAGCAACGCCGCCGUCGACUACCGGAAAAGUUCCCGCCGGUCGAUUGUACCUUUCAGCUAUUCAAAGGAUAAGAGUAUUAAAGGCUUUCAAGGCAGAAGUAAAAAGGGGCAACAUAUUCCAUGGCGUUCGCCAAUUAUUUAUCCUUCUUCCUCUUUAUCACCCUCUUAUUUUCAUUGCAAAUCCAUGCGAGAGAGAGCCAAUUCUUCACCAACAAAGAAACAGAAGUAGCAACUCUACCAGUUUCCACCCCCACCACCACCAGUAACGUUAUUCCUAACAAGUUCAACCACAAUGGUGACAGGGUGUCAAAGGUCACCAAUUCUAUUGGACUGUCCAGUGACGGCAAGUACUACAGUAGAUAUAAGCUAAGUGAGGAACAUAGGACUUUUCGGAACUAUCAUGGCAAUGAAGGUGAUUACAACGAUAAAGAGGAGCCCCAGCCUUAGUUUCCAAAAGAAAAAGGAGCUCAGGUCUUGAGUUAAGAGAUCAACAUGAGAUGAGUUCCAAUUGGCAUUAGUUUUCCGUUUUCAGUUUUCAGUUUUCAGUUUUUAGUUAUGUUUUAGUCGAUAAGAUGUUAAUCUGUUUUAAAUUAUAUGCACGGAUGGUGUAAAUGAUAUUUACAAAAUCAGAUCUGGUAAAAGUGACCUAUAAAAGGUCUUGAUCCUAGA